ACUCUGUCUUGUCCCAGAUGCUGUUUCUUUUCCUGGAGUGCCCUUCCUUCCUUUCCGAGCAGAGCAAACUCCCACUCACGCAGUAGGACCUAGCUCAAAUGCCAUCUCUUCACUGAAACCCCCUCCAGUCCUGCUAAAGCCGCAUUCUCCCAUUCACAGGCACACUGGCCUUUUGUGGUGUCUGAGGGAGAAGGGCCCUCCUUAGAAAUCCCUGGGCUGUGAGCUCUGGGAAGGUUGUGGAACCUUUUGAAUUUUUUAUUUUGAUCGUUAAUCAAAAGUUCAAUAUCUCAUCUGGAGGAGUGAUGGAUUUCUGGCCCCUUCCUGUGUAUCUUCCUAUAGUCUGACUCCAUCCAGUCCCUCUGUCUCUGAGCCUCAGUGUCCUCCAGGAAGGACUUGCAAGACAAGAUGUGCACAAUGUAAAAACCAUGUGGGAAGUUCUGGAGAGCCUUUGUCUCCGCAAGGGAACCCCUUUACGCCAGCCAAGAUGUGGUUUGGCCCAUCCCUUGAAGCCUGAUCAACCCACCAGACCAAUUUAUAUAAAGAAAACUCUUUCUCCUCUAGAAGCCACCAACUAGAAACCAAGGAUUAUGAAGAUAAGAAUGUCCUUACUGAAGAGAUUGGAGAAUGCUAACUUGUCACUGUCUCCCAAGUUUCGUUUCCACUUCUCAUUAAGAGAUUCUGUUGGGUACUUCUUGCUCAUUAUCUCUUGUGGCAGUCACUCCUUUGUUUGGAAACCCUUGUUAUUAGAAAGGUCACGGUAAGCAGAUACUGUGGUUUUGAUCUCAGCUCAUUUGGUGGUUCUUUCCUUCACUGAUUCCUUCAUCAUUUAAAACACUCAAUAAUCACUUGUUGGAAUUCCACUGUUCACAGAGUUGACACUCACUGAAAGCUUGAGAGCAUCACAAAGUUACUCAAAAUCAAUCCUGGGAUAUUAAUCGGUAAAUAGAGAAAACGCUGCAUUUUUUUUUCCAAGGUAAAUAGCCCUACUUCUUUCCCCAAGAUGGUCUAAUUUUAAACUCUAUUCCGAUUCUCACUUUCCUCUAGAAAAGCCUUUUAUGUUCCUAUCCCUCUUAAAAUGUAAUCCAAAUAUGAGUGGGCCUUUUCACAUUUAAAGAAUAGUAAAAGUGUUUCCUCCCACAUUUAACACAUGUCUUUUCUUAAUAUAAAAACCUUAAAAUAAAAGUGGACUUUUUUCCCUGGUGUAUUUCAGUGUUGUCCUUCUUCAGCUUGUGCUGCCUGAACCAUUUGAAGCCAAGAUGUAACACAUCAGGUCAGAAAUUCUCCAACUUGUGUUUACGAUCUACAUUUUGUAAGAUGAGUAGUAAAACAUCCGUUUUUCUUCAGAAUAUCACUGAAAUAUCUCUCUCUCCUUGAUGUCUUGGUCUCUUAAAAUUCACCAGGGAUGGGCUUACUUUCACACCAACAUUGUUGAUGAUAAUCCACAGAGAGGAUAAGCCUCUCGUUCUUCCCGUCCUGUCAAACUGGCCAUCGUACCCACAUCCCUGGAGAGUACAGCCGGAACCUGGCUGCACUUUCUGUAGCACAUUUUACGUGUCCAUCCUAUCAGAAGAAUAUGCUUUAUUUUAACUUCCUAUUCUGAAAUGACUCCAAAAUGACAGAAAGUUUGCAAAAAUGAGAUGCUAUUGGAUUGAAGAACAUCUGCAACCAUCUGAAAUAUGUUUCCCCACGUUUUUCUUUAAUAUUUCUAUGGAUAUCAGAAUUCUCACAGUUUCUGUGAAAUGAUUUUUUGAACAAACAUCAUUUAUGCCUAUGUCUUGAGUAGUGUCAAUCUGAACUGAAAAUGUGUCAGCUUUUUAACAUUCUCAAAUUCUACUUUUAAAAUCACAAAGAAUCCCUUAAAAGAGGUUGGGUCAUGAUAAAAUUUGUUUCAGAACAAAGUGACUGGUAAAAACCUGAAGUUCUGGAAGAAAUAAAGAACACAGUUCUCCCAGUCAAACAACUACCUUCUUCAUUGGGUUGGCUGUGUCUGUUUGAUGGACUCCAUCAGGACUACACUUGUUGGCUGCUGAUGUUUCUUCAUUAUAAGUGGAGGUGGGGAGAAUCCUGGGACUCUCAGCUGAAGCUCCAACUAUUCCUCUCAGUCAUUUGUAGGCUAGCAGGUGUAAUUGCAUAUAAUGCUCUUUAAACUGUUAAUUAGAUAAUUGCAUUUUAAAUGAUUUAAUUCUCAUAAAUUUAAUCCUUUUCCAUGAGUUUAUCAAAACUGAAUUCCGUGAAGCUAUUUAUGUCCUCAAACUGCUUUUUGAAAUAGAAGCAAAUAUAAAUGUUUGUUAUAUUUAUUGGGGAAACCUCAUUAACUGGAUCUUUUCUAUAUAGUAGAAUUGGUUUACCAAUUUGGGUAGAGAUAUAGCUCAAAUUUAAUAUCUUUUUAUAUUAUGGGUAUACAGUGUAAACUCACUCAAAGACUUUUAAACAUAUUGAGUGAUAAUUUAACAUUUAAAAAAUUGACAACAUUGUUUUGAUUCCAAUGGAUAACUUCAUAAUAAAUAAGUAAAUAAAUAAAUAAGAAGUAUUUUAUUAAAAACAUUAAGCAGUCUGACUCACUAUUAAUCCUGGUCGUCUCUGCCUUUAUUUAUUUGCCACUUGUAUAUUUUACUAUCUGAAGAUAGGAUUCAAACCCUGCUCUCCCAUUAAGAGGGAUUAUGAAGUUGAUGAAUUUGUUUAUAUCUGGCAAACUCAGUCUUAAAAAUGAAAGUUCCUGUCCAUUUCAUAGUGAUAUUGAAAGACCACACGAGCUGAAUGCAGUUGAAAGAUUUUUGUGAUUUACAAAUCUGUGUAAUAUUAAAUAAUGUUUUUAUUGUUUAUUCAAAUGCAAAAUAGACUAUUGACCUAGCCACCAUGCAACUUUCUGUCUCUUAAAAAUGAUAACAUGGUAUGCUAUUUCUCAAACCCAAGAACUAGAGUUACCAGGAGGAUACUUUCAUGCUAAUGGUUUGCAGCUAUUCCAAUUCUCUGGACCUCUUUGGGGGCUUGAGAAUUUGCACUGGUGACAAUCUCCCAAGGAAUGCUGUAGGCACUGGUUCAGGAAACAUACAUCAUGAACCAUUGACUUACAGGGGUCAGAGAGAUGUCUCAGCUCCUCUUCCAUCUUACCAGGGUUUGAUUCCCAGGACCAACACUGUGUCCCACAAAUUCAUGUAAUUCCAAUUCAAGGGGAUCCAACACCCUCUCUUAUGUUCUCUGGGGGCAUCAGACACACAUAUGAUACACAGAUAUGCAUGGAGGCAAUAUACCAAUACAUAAAACAAUACAAAGGAAUUACUGUCUUAUAAUUCAAGACUGUGUGCCCAUCAGACAAAUAUGACAUGCAAAUAAUAACAUUGAACAUAUUAGAAAUAAAUUGUAUUUGCCUGAAUACAUGAUCUCAUUAUGCUUUUUUUCUAGAUUUCAUCUCCAUGUCCAAUAAAUUAACAGCCCCAUGUAAUCAAAGGCAUUAAUAUUUUAGGAUAAUUAGUACCAUUAUUUUCUAUUACUGCUUUCCAGUUCUAACACACCAUUAUCAGUUCCAUAGUUGAGAGCACAGAAGUUGCUAUCUCUUGAACACAACAAACCUAUCAGAACACACUUGAUUUUAUGCAUUUGUGAUUUUUUAAUUGAAAAGGAAAAUUCUGGACUGGGGAGGUGGCACAGCCAUUAAAACCACUUUUGCACAAACACAAGGAUGAGAAUUUGGAUUCCAGCAUCCAAGUAGUGAGCCAGGAAUCCCACAGACAAUGGAGAUUUCAUCUCCACAAGGUCUUACACCCUCUUCCUGUCUCUGCACACACAAGGGCACAUACACCGAUGUAUAUACACAUAGAGACAUGUAAAUAAAUAAAAUAAAAAUUGAAAAUAAAAAUUCAAGCAUUCAGUAUUUUUUAAAAUUCAAGAACUCUCCAAGAAAGGUCAUAUAAGUCAAUGGAGAGGGGUGUGACACAGAUCUAUGACAUUAAUUAGUGUUUAUUCAGAGAUAAAUCUUGUCUGGCUCUUCCAUCUUCUGUGGACAUUGUGUAGAACAACACACACACACACACACACACACACACACACACACACAAGCAUGUACAUGCCUGCACACAACAUAUUUUAUUUCAAGAAUUAUAUUUCUUAGAUUAAAAAGUUAUUAUUGUUUGCCAGUAUAGAAAUUCAGCUUUGCUUUUCAGAAAUCUUGGACUAUAAUGGAAAGAAUAUUGCAAUUGAUUUGUGUUAAGUUGUUUUUGAAGUGGCACCAUUGAAGCCUUGUAUCCAUCCCACCUAAACCGAUGAAGAGUUGCCACGUGUCUCAUGGAUUACAGCUUAAACUGUAAAAUGAUACAGUUCACCCUCAAAGAAGUUCAUAGUGUUUAUGAAAUAGAUAUAUAAUUCCUAUCAAUCCAAAUCAAUAAUACACCUAGAUUUCUCCUGCUAAUAAGACUAUUCUUGAUCCAAGGGACUCAGUGAGGGGAAGGUAUCUUGAAUCCCAAGAGAAUAAGCCAUAUUUAAAAUGCUGAACAGAAUUACAAAAAGACACCAAUCAAAGAACCCCUGUAGAGUUACAGAGGAGGAGAAUCUGGCCUGUGACUCAGGUUAGCAAGGAAAAAAAUGAGACAGAAAAACAAAUAUCGUCUGUUGUGAGAGAAUAAAUACAGGAGUUACAUAACUACAGUAGAAGUCAGUUUUUAUUAUUCUCACUGUGCCUGAGUCCAAGAUGCUCAACCUGUUCCUGAACACGUUUUAAUUAUCAGGGCUUUUAACUUGUGACCUUUUCUUUACAUAAUGUCAGUGUUUAGCACAUAUCAGUUUUUGUUGGAUUUUUGUUUACAUAGAAAAACCAAUUCUAAGUAAGUACAAUUUAUAAUCUACCACUCAAUUUCUUUACAAAGCUUUUUAGAACCUUUGUAAUAUAUCUUAACACUAACCUGGUGCCUAAAUAUAACUGUCCCUUGUGAAGGAAUGGCUCUUUUUCUCUUUGUCUGAUUAGGCAUGUAUUUUAUAACGUAACAUUUGAAAUCUAGCUGCUUGAGCAUGUGUGAGUUUUUCAUCUUCUUGGACUCUCUAUUUUCCAAGUAAUUUCUUUCUUCAUUUAGAUUAAAUGUACAUUUGCCUGGUUGACAAACCAAAUGACUCAGAAAGGCAUCUUCCUUGAUUACUACAUAAAGAUGGAUAAAGACAAAUGAUUCACACAUUCAUGUGCUUCUUUGAUGAUAAAUGUCAAAGACCCAUUUUUGCUUCCUUCUCCAAGCUAUGAUGAUAAUGACCACCAACUUUUGCUACUCAGAAUUAACUUUGCAGAUAGUUCCUUAGGGGAAUCACAGUUAUGCAUUACUUACUCAGAAAAGCUUACCCUCAUUUGUCUAAGGCCUAAAGUGCAAUUACUUGGCUGGUAAAUUUUUUUAUUAUUUUUUCAUGGUUAUUUAUAUUUAUAAUUUAGUGGAUGUUUGUAUAAAGCAAGGAAAAUUCAAUGGUGAUUUUUAAUUUCAUUGUCAGUAGCUCCGAUUUUGUUAUGUGUAUCAUUAAUAUUCUAAACAUCUAUUACAUCAAAUGUAAAUGGGCUUCAUUAUGUCUAUUCUGAAUUGGCUGUAAUUUCCAUUUCUCUCUGUAUUUUCUGUCUGCACAAAAAUUGGAUCGAUAUAUACACCUCUGCUAAGUCCCUCAAAGUUUAAAUUACAUCUCUCUGACUUUUUAAAAAUGGUUUUAAGUGUUAAGGUUUGUUGGAAGACACUGGUCUAAUGGGUCUGUUGGUAAUCACUCCGUCAAUCAAUACAUGUUUCCCCUUGCUAACCUUGUGUCAGGUUAAUGUGGUAUAUUAUGCUUCUCCCAUUUGUGGAGAGUAGGCAGCCUUCACAGGGUGCUCAGCCAUGACCUGUGCUUUGUCAUUUUCAUCUGUGGCCUUUGAGGGGGGCCACAAACUAGCAAUCAGCUUGUAAUCUCCCAACUGCAGUAAGAAUGGGUUAGGUGUUAGCCUUUCACUGUUACCCCAGUACUAAUUUUUAUAGGGUGGGGCUCAUCUUGUGAGGUUUUCUCAGAUCCUGCCAAUCAUUGUCAGGAGCUUUUAAAUAGAAACACUUUUCAACACUUCAGAAGCUCUUGAAAAAAAGACUUGCACAUUUUCUUUUGUUGUCUCCUUAGGAUUCUCACUGCUAAUGACUACUGCCAAGAUGUAUAAAUGGAACGGUUCAGCUAGGAGAAGAAUCUGAGGUUUAAAAUGCCUCUUGCUCUAUGACAACUUUUCUUUGAUUUCGUGAUUGAGUUGGGACAGAAGCUACAAGAGAAAACUGAUCCCUCAGCUAGCGCAGAUCACAGAGAGCAGCUGGCUUCUUAGAGUCCUUUAGCUUAAGGCUCAAGAUCCAGAAACUUAAAUUAUUUGGGAAGAAGAGUUAAAACUGAUGAAACUGAAUAUUAUGGCAUUCUUAAAAUGAGAUGUUUGGUUUUAUAACGUAUGGACAUGCAAAGAAAACAGAUUUUCUUUUGGAUUUUGCAGAGAACUGAAGUUAUUGAUGUUGAUACUUUGUAAAGGGCACAGUAGUCCCUCUUCAUGUGGCAGUGGUUUGUCCCAGGGAACCCUUUAGACCAGAGGAGAAAGGACAGUUAGUUCCAUGAGAAAUAGAUGUGAUGGUACUAUGAUUCGCAGUUUCUUUAUCUCAUAGGACUUCUAUUGGAUUUAAGAGCAUGAACUGUACUUAACCAAGUGUUUUAUUAUAAUGUGUAUAAAAUACAUAUAAAAUUUUAUAUUUUAAUUGUAUUAAAUUGAUUUUUAGAACUAUUGGGUAGAUAAUUCAUUGAGGAGAAGAAGCAUUGGAUAUCAAAAUCCCUAGACUAUGCCAGCUGCUUUCAUGGGUGCAACACUGUCGUUCUUUUCCAUAAGAGCAUUUGGGAUGUAGGUCAAGGCAUAAUUAAACUGAAAGUCACUGACACUCUUGGGCAGUCAGUGUUCCAUGGUCUGAUUCUGGAUAAUAAAAGGAGGUGUUAUUCUGUCUAAAGAAAUCCGCAGAAUGCAUGAUUCAUCUUAAGGACUGAUUUUUAUAUCUUUAUCGAUAUAAAAAGUAUGCGACUGUCUUUACAAAAGUUGUCCUAUAUGCAGAAACCAAGAUGAGCAUUGGAGUCUUUCUGGAAUCUUGCUUGAAUCAAUUGAAUAAAAUAUUCAUGAAGAUACAUUUUGUGUGAUGCUCCUUCUUGAGCUGAACAGAGUUGAUGCAGUGCUGUCCUGUAAUGGCAGAGGAACUGAGCAAUCGAUAGUGGGAAGCAUUGGCUCACCAACGUGCAGACCCUAAGUAGCCAGGACUCCCAGGUAUAACUUGCUUAAGCGGAGGUAUUGCAUGAUGCCACAGCAUGAUCAGUAGGUGUAUUAAGUCUGUAAAGUCAUAUAGAUUAUGGUGCUCCUAAAAAGAAGAGGCCACUUAUGGUGAAGGUGAGGAGAAUAAAAUAGAAUGGACAAAAGCUGGAAAGCCCAAUGGUACAUUAUAUAACAGACUGAUUAGGCCUUUCCUGUAUAACAGUUCAUUUCAUGGAUUUAACUUUUAUUUUAUUUUAGCCUUUUCUACCCAAUAACCUAUAAAUUAGUAGUAAUGUAGAUAAUCAACAGUAUAAUAAAGCUGAUUUUUAAUUAAUGCAUAUCAAAAAUAAUUCUAACUAAUGAGAUCAUAAAAAAUUUUGAUGAACAACUAAUCACUGACAUGGGUUUUGAAAGGUGAGGAACACUGUCUGUGAGAAGCUGUGACAAUAUUUAGCCAAAGAUAUAAGCAAAAAUGCUGGUUUCAAAGAGCCAGGAAUUGGUGAGCCACCAUGUCACCCAAUGAGUAUGCUAAAGACAGGAAGAAAGGGAAUGUAAAAUAGAAGAGGCAGGAUGACUUUACAGUGAAGAAGAUCUUAGGAAACAAAGUGAAAAUUCAGAGCUAUAGGCAAUAGGAGAAAAUGGACACAUUUUAAGUGAAAAUGGCAUAUUGAUUUUAAAAUAAUAGUAUUUUGUAGAGGUAUAAAGAAUGCAUUGAGUAAGAAAAUACUAUGUGUAGGGAGGUCAUUUCAGAAGACUUGUAAAGGUCUCAAUAAUUGGAUUCUGGUGAUAAUGGAGGCAACCCAAAUGGAGACAAAGUCUUAGAUCUGAGAGGCUGGUAUCAUUGACUCCAUUGCACUUCGAAUAUCACAGCUUAUAGAAUGGGGGGAGGGUGGGUAUGGAGAGAUAACUUUUAGCUCUGUACAUGAAUGAGUGGGAAAAUGAUGAAUGGCACACAUCAAUAGAAAUAUUAGGAUCGAGAGCACAUUGCUAGGUGGAUAUGGGUGUUCAAUAUGUUGACGUUGAAAGUACA